GUUCAAAAGAGGAAAGGCUUGCGGUGGACCUAGGCACCCAGAGACGAGGAAGGGCGUAGCAAGCGACGAAAUGCUUCAGGGAGUUGAAAAUAAGCAUAGAUCCGGAGAUUCCCAAAUAGGUCAACCUUUUAAACUGCCUGCUGAAUCCAUGAGCAGGCAAGAGACAACCUGGCGAACUGAAACAUCUUAGUAGCCAGAGGAAAAGAAAGCAAAAGCGAUUCCCGUA
rfam:Triticum aestivum genome assembly, contig: Triticum_aestivum_CS42_TGACv1_scaffold_435936_5DL